rnacentral:rRNA from 1 species
UACGUAGGGGGCAAGCGUUAUCCGGAAUUACUGGGUGUAAAGGGAGCGUAGACGGUAAUGUAAGUCUGGAGUGAAAGGCGGGGGCCCAACCCCCGGACUGCUCUGGAAACUAUGUUACUAGAGUGCAGGAGAGGUAAGCGGAAUUCCUAGUGUAGCGGUGAAAUGCGUAGAUAUUAGGAGGAACACCAGUGGCGAAGGCGGCUUACUGGACUGUAACUGACGUCGAGGCUCGAAAGCGUGGGGAGCAAACAGG